AGUGAACGCUGGCGGUAGGCCUAACACAUGCAAGUCGAACGGCAGCACAGUAAGAGCUUGCUCUUACGGGUGGCGAGUGGCGGACGGGUGAGGAAUACAUCGGAAUCUACUUUUUCGUGGGGGAUAACGUAGGGAAACUUACGCUAAUACCGCAUACGACCUACGGGUGAAAGCAGGGGAUCUUCGGACCUUGCGCGAUUGAAUGAGCCGAUGUCGGAUUAGCUAGUUGGCGGGGUAAAGGCCCACCAAGGCGACGAUCCGUAGCUGGUCUGAGAGGAUGAUCAGCCACACUGGGACUGAGACACGGUCCAGACUCCUACGGGAGGCAGCAGUGGGGAAUAUUGGACAAUGGGCGCAAGCCUGAUCCAGCCAUACCGCGUGGGUGAAGAAGGCCUUCGGGUUGUAAAGCCCUUUUGUUGGGAGAGACAAGCAGCAGGUUAAUACCCCGCUGUUCUGACGGUACCCAAACAAUAAGCACCGGCUAACCUCGUG
rnacentral:rRNA from 1 species